CAAUAGCGUAUAUUAAAGUUGUUGCGGUUAAAACGCUCGUAGUUGAGAUUCUACUAGAAACGGCAGGUCUUCCCAAGAGGCUAGUACCCGCCGGCCUUCUAGUUUACUGUUGGCGAACUUGUGGGCACUUUAUUGUGCUACUUGGUAACCGACUGUUUUACUUUGAGGAAAUAAGAGUGCUUCAAGCGGGUCUCCGCCACGAAUAUGUUAGCAUGGAAUAAUAGGUAUUUAUCUCUGAUCAUAGCUGUUGGUUGCUAGAUAAGAGUGAUGAUUGAAAAAAAUAGUUGGGGGCAUUCGUAUUUAACUGUCAGAGGUGAAAUUCUUGGAUUUGUUAAAGACGAACAACUGCGAAAGCAUCUGCCAAGGAUGUUUNUAUUGA
rnacentral:rRNA from 1 species